rnacentral:rRNA from 1 species
CCUACGGGAGGCAGCAGUAAGGAAUAUUGGUCAAUGGAGGCAACUCUGAACCAGCCAUGCCGCGUGCAGGAAGACGGCCCUAUGGGUUGUAAACUGCUUUUGAACUAGAGAAAACCUUGGUACGUGUACCGAGUUGAUAGUAUAGUUAGAAUAAGCAUCGGCUAACUUCGUGCCAGCAGCCGCGGUAAGACGAAGGAUGCAAGCGUUAUCCGGAUUCAUUGGGUUUAAAGGGUGCGUAGGCGGACUGAUAAGUCAGUGGUGAAAUCUCUCAGCUUAACUGAGAAACUGCCAUUGAUACUGUUAGUCUAGAGUACAGAUGAUGUGGGCGGAAUAUGACAUGUAGUGGUGAAAUACUUAGAUAUGUCAUAGAACACCGAUUGCGAAGGCAGCUCACAAAACUGUAAACUGACGCUGAGGCACGAAAGUGCGGGGAUCAAACAGGAUUAGAUACCCUGGUAGUCCGCACCGUAAACGAUGAUUACUCGUUGUUGGCGAUAUGACAGUCAGCGACCAAGCGAAAAGCGAUAAGAAUCCACCUGGGGAGUACGCCGGCAACGGUGAAACUCAAAAGGAAUUGACGGNGNGAGAGNGCGAGCGACACGAGGGAGAGG